rnacentral:rRNA from 1 species
UACGAAGGGGGCUAGCGUUGCUCGGAAUCACUGGGCGUAAAGCGCACGUAGGCGGACUCUUAAGUCGGUGGUGAAAUCCUGGAGCUCAACUCCAGAACUGCCUUCGAUACUGAGAGUCUCGAGUCCGGGAGAGGUGAGUGGAACUGCGAGUGUAGAGGUGAAAUUCGUAGAUAUUCGCAAGAACACCAGUGGCGAAGGCGGCCUUCUGGACAGUGACUGACGCUGAGACGCGAAAGCGUGGGGAGCAAACAGG